GGCAGGCCCUGUCAGGGGAGGCAAAGGGCUCCGAAGCCACCCUUGACCCACUUCCCAGGCCAGGCCCACUCUCACGUCCCCACCUCCUCCCCUUCUGCCUGAGGGUCCCCUCCACUUCCACAUCUUGUUGACUUUUGAAUUUACAAGUUUUGAAUUUACAGUUUGCCAAGGCCCUGAAAUGAUUGCACCCCCGGACCCACCUUGGGAAAGCAUCCUCCUCACCCAGGUCAUCGCAGCUGGCGGAAGAAGGCAGGGGACACAAGCUGGGGUCUCCCACGUGCUGUGAAGAAACCAAAGAGGAAAAUCAUUAAAAAGCAUUGCAACAGAGAGAA
rnacentral:lncRNA from 1 species